GACGAACGCUGGCGGCGUGCUUAACACAUGCAAGUCGAACGAUGAAGCUGGAGCUUGCUCCGGUGGAUUAGUGGCGAACGGGUGAGUAACACGUGAGUAAUCUGCCCUUGACUCUGGGAUAACUGCGGGAAACUGUAGCUAAUACCGGAUACGACACCUUCGGGCAUCCGAUGGGUGUGGAAAGAAUUUCGGUCAAGGUUGAACUCGCGGCCUAUCAGCUAGUUGGUGAGGUAAUGGCUCACCAAGGCGACGACGGGUAGCCGGCCUGAGAGGUUGACGGGCCACACUGAGACUGAGACACGGCCCAGACUGCUACGGGAGGCAGCAGUGGGGAAUAUUGCACAGUGGGCGAAAGCCUGAUGCAGCAACGCCGCGUGAGGGAUGAAGGCCUUCGGGUUGUAAACCUCUUUUAGUUGGGAAGAAGCGAAAGUGACGGUACCAACAGAAAAAGCACUGGCUCACUACGUGCCUGCCGCCGUCGUAA
rnacentral:rRNA from 1 species